rnacentral:rRNA from 1 species
UGCUGGAACGCGCCCCAGGCGCACCCAGAAACCCUUUGUGAACUUAUACCUUACUGUUGCCUCGGCGCAUGCCGGCCCCCCCGGGGCCCCCUGGAGACAGGGAGCAGGCACGCCGGCGGCCAAGUUAACUCUUGUUUUUACACUGAAACUCUGAGAAAAAAACACAAAUGAAUCAAAACUUUCAACAACGGAUCUCUUGGUUCUGGCAUCGAUGAAGAACGCAGCGAAAUGCGAUAAGUAAUGUGAAUUGCAGAAUUCAGUGAAUCAUCGAAUCUUUGAACGCACAUUGCGCCCUCUGGUAUUCCGGAGGGCAUGCCUGUUCGAGCGUCAUUUCAACCCUCAAGCACUGCUUGGUGUUGGGGCACUGCCUCCCCCGCGGGGGGCAGGCCCUGAAAUCUAGUGGCGAGCUCGCCAGGACCCCGAGCGCAGUAGUUAAACCCUCGCUCUGGGAGGCCCUGGCGGUGCCCUGCCGUUAAACCCCCAACUUCUGAAAAUU